rnacentral:misc_RNA from 1 species
GAAAUGCGAUAAGUAAUGUGAAUUGCAGAAUCCCGUGAAUCAUCGAAUCUUUGAACGCACAUUGCGCCCUCUGGUAUUCCGGGGGGCAUGCCUGUCCGAGCGUCAUUGCGAACCCCUCAAGCACGGCUUGUGUGAUGGGCCCUCCCGCGUCUUGGUCGUCAAGACGGGCCCGAAAUGCAGUGGCGGCUUCGCGGUUAUCCGAUCAGCCAGAGCGUAUGGGGACUUUCUCUCUGUCACACGCCCGCGGCGCGGACCGACGCCUGUCGACCUUCAUUCAUCGUUUUCUCGGUUGACCUCGGAUCAGGUAGGGAUACCCGCUGAACUUAAGC